AAUGAACGCUGGCGGCAGGCCUAACACAUGCAAGUCGAACGGAUCCUUCGGGAUUAGUGGCGGACGGGUGAGUAACGCGUGGGAACAUACCCUUUGGUACGGAAUAGCCUUGGGAAACUGGGAGUAAUACCGUAUGUGGUCGAGAGACGAAAGAUUUAUCGCCAAAGGAUUGGCCCGCGUUGGAUUAGGUAGUUGGUGGGGUAAUGGCCUACCAAGCCGACGAUCCAUAGCUGGUUUGAGAGGAUGAUCAGCCACACUGGGACUGAGACACGGCCCAGACUCCUACGGGAGGCAGCAGUGGGGAAUCUUAGACAAUGGGGGAAACCCUGAUCUAGCCAUGCCGCGUGAUCGAUGAAGGCCUUAGAGUUGUAAAGAUCUUUCAGGUGGGAAGAUAAUGACUGUACCACCAGAAGAAGCCCCGGCUAACUCCGUGCCAGCAGCCGCCGUAA
rnacentral:rRNA from 1 species